UCGAUAUAGAUCAAAUAAAGUAGUCCCGCGCAAAACAGUUUUUAUGCAAAAUAAUGAAUUUUUUGUCUAUCGACAUGUGUCGGUCCCUAGUGGCAUUUAUAACGUGACGAAUUUUUUGUUGAAUGACGGUAACCGAUUACCCUCACCCAUCAACUACUACCUUGCCAGUGAUAAAAACCAGUUUUUUAUACUUUGUUAUCGACGCACCGGGAUACCAUUUAGCAGUCGCUUAUCUAAAUUUGUAAAAUAAUUAUUAUUAUUGACGGGUGAUGAGACUUAAAUUUUAACUUUACUGUGUUCAUUUUUACAUGUAAAUAAUAAUGCAAAUAUAAUGAAAAUAUCAAUUGAUCGUUACAAUAUUGCAAGUUUGAAAGUGCUAAAUUAAAGUUAAAAGAAGACCAUGUGUACUUUUAUCAAGUAAUGGGACAAUUACACUCUACAAGUUGAGAGAAAUGUUUUUAUGUAAUUUAUACUAACAAAUGGAUAAAUAUAGAGGAGAUAUACUACAAUCAAACAUUUUGGGACGAAAAAAUGUCAAACCAAAUUAGAAUGUUUUACAUGGAGUAUUUACUCCCAAAGAUUGUAGAUCCUCGUUCCCAAAGAUUUUGCUCAAAUCGGAUAUAAAAGAACCAAAAAAAAUAUCAAAAAACACAAGAAAAAAUUAAUAUAUAUAA